UUUGGAGCUUCAAUGGGGUGUUGUUAUAAGGAUGGUUCCUAGGCAUAUCUUUGAUGAUAUCGAGGUUGAUGACGAUGUUAGACCAUAUAUACAAAGUGUUCCUCUAAGACAAAACUUAUCUGAUGUUAUCGAAGUCUCAGAUACAUUAGUCAGGAGUGAUGGUGAUGUCCAUAUUAUAGAUGCCGGUAGACGAUGAGUUCAACAUCCGAGUAUAAAUGUU
rnacentral:lncRNA from 1 species